rnacentral:lncRNA from 1 species
AAUUCAUAUGGAGCAUCACACCAGCUAUCUCCUGCUCCCUGUCCUGCACUGCAAAGGAGGCCUUUUCAUCCUCUCUACUGCCUCCAAUUUUUCUCACGAGGAAUGUGAGAGGAAAACCUAGAAUGGGCAGAUGAAUCUCUGAACAAGACAGCUCAUGACACGGUUUAUUGGAGCCUUCCUCAAAACCCAUCCAAGAGAGCUUGUUCCUGAAGCAUGGUGCUAAGUCCAUAUGCAGCAGAUGGAGCUCAUGAGAAAAGAGUUGCUCUUGUGAAGACCAAAGCUUGGUGAGGUGUCAGAUCCCCGGCGAUGGAAAGCAGUCAACUCAUGGGUAGUAAAAAGAAUGUAUUGACAACACUAUAGGUUUGAAAAGGAAAGUUUUAUUAGAUGGAAAGAACAGUGCAGAAGACCGCAGCAGAGGACCUCAGCAAGAGAGAACUAAGAGGAGAUUGCAGAUGGAGGUGUUGUAUGUGACUGUUUUACAUGGAUUCUUCGCUCUGGUAGCAGAUGUUGAAGAAGCUCUAUGAAUGUCCUGUCUCUAUGUCCCAGUUUGUCAGUUUCAAAUACUCAUGUAUCUGAUUGUCAAUGCUGGAGAGCUGGGGCCAGGGCAGUAGUUGAUGAAUAUCACCUGACUGUCUCCUGCAGAAAAAGCAUUCCCAGAAGCACGGAGAAGUGAGGAGAAAAGGCAAUGCACCUGGAGCUGGAGACCAAGGCCCUGUUCUUACUGAUGGCCCUUGGAGCAGAUAUUUGAAUUGGAGAGAUAAAACCGUGGUUUUUGGGGUGUUAAUUUUGGUGGCUGAUGCAUUCUGUGAUUGAUUUGGCUAUUACAACUGGUAUUGAUUUUAAACACAUUAAUUGCAAAAUCUCAAUUGUGAUUUGAUUUCUGUAUUUACAAUACUAAAAACGAGGCUUUCGCCAGGAGAAGACAAUUGGCAGUACUCAGUUGGAAGUGCUUAAUUGUUAAUAUAUAUCAGCCGUGGUUCUUCAGCGUCGUCAGUGUUGCUCAGUCUUGCUCUUUGUGGCGACUACUGAAUGCUUGAAAAAUUCUCUCCUAUACUCCCACUCUGCACUGUAGAAGAGAAAGAGAGGAGAGUGGAAGAAAAAAGAGAGGGAGAGGAGAAAGAAAGAGAGGAGAGAGAAACAUGGGCAUGGAUGAUACAUAAGGUAGUUGUAAACUGUGAUCAGCUUUGAUAAUAACUAGAUAAAUUCUUUUAAUACAAAAAUAUAUAAGGCAUUUUGCCUUUUUUUCAAAUUUCAAAUAAAUGGAUUUGUAUAGAAUGUAGUCUGUUGCCCAGAGUUUUCAUUUAGCAUAAUGCAUUUGAGAUUUAUCCAUGUUGUUGUAUAUUCUUUUUAUUGCUGAGUAGUAUUCCAUUGUGUGGAUAUACCAGUUUGUUUAUCCAUUAACCUUUGAUGGAUAUUUGGGUUUUUUUCAAUAUGAGGCUCUUAUAAAUAAACCUUCUGUAAUCAGGUCUUUGUGUAGUCACACAGUUUGUUUGUUUGUUUGUUUUUUAAAAAGAUGUUAGUAUUGUAAUUGUGUUUAAUAAGAAACUGUUCAGUAUUUCUGCAUGUCUACCAAAAAUACAUGAAAUGUUAGUUGCUUCUUUUAAAAUACUUGGUAUGUUUUUGCUUUUUUAUUUUAGCAACUUAAUAUGUGUGUAUUAUAACCUCAUUGUGGUUUUAAAUUACAUUUUCCUCAGUAACUAAUAAUGCUGAGCAUCUUUUAAUGUAUUUAAUGGUCAUUCAUAUAUCUCCUCAUGAAAUGUCUGUUAAAAUUGUAUGCUCAUUUAGAAAAAUCAGGAUGAUUGUCUUGUUGAGCUUUGAAAGCUCUUUGCAUAUUAUGAAUACAAGUUCUUUAUUAGACAUACAUUUUACAAACAUUUUUUCCAGUCUUUUUCAUUAACUUAGCUUUUGGAGAGCAAAAAAAUUUUAAUGUGAUGAAGUAUAACUUAUUUCUUGUUUGAUAGCUUAUAAGUUUCAGUUUUAGGGGUUUUCUUUAAAUACAUGCCAUUCAUUUAUUCUGAAUCUUAUAUUGAUAGAUAAUUCCAGAAGAUUUCAGCAUAGCAGAUAAAAUACAGCAAAUCCUAACCAGCACAGGUUUGAGUGACAAACGGGCCGGUUCCAUGGACACAGGUGACUUCAUCAG